rfam:Elusimicrobia bacterium RIFOXYD2_FTLL_34_15 rifoxyd2_full_scaffold_198, whole genome shotgun sequence.
GGGGACGUGGUGUAGCUUGGUUUAACAUGCUGCCCUGUCAAGGCAGAGAUCGCGGGUUCAAAUCCCGUCGUCCCCG